CAGCGAUCUGCCCCCAAGCGUGGCGGGAGUGGAAGGGCUUCUGUUACCGGCUCACCCAAGCCACCGUGCCCUGGCAUGGUGUCAGAGGCGAAUGCAAGACCUCCUACAGGUCCGCCGACGUCGCCAGCGUCACCAGCAUGGCCGAAAACAAUAUGAUAAAGGGGCUGGCCGGACGGAGGUCGGUUUGGCUGGGCAUGAGGUCGGUCAACAAUCUGCAGACCUGGAUCGACGGCACGGCGGUGCGCUUCCGCAACUUCGACGGCGGGCAGGCCCAGACCAAUGGCGCAGAAGAUGUCGUCCAGAUGGAGCCUUCGGGCCGGUGGCGGUUUGCCAUCUCGC